rnacentral:rRNA from 1 species
GAUGAACGCUGGCGGCGUGCCUAAUACAUGCAAGUCGAGCGAACAGAUAAGGAGCUUGCUCCUUUGACGUUAGCGGCGGACGGGUGAGUAACACGUGGGUAACCUACCUAUAAGACUGGGAUAACUUCGGGAAACCGGAGCUAAUACCGGAUAACAUUUGGAACCGCAUGGUUCUAAGUGAAAGAUGGUUUUGCUAUCACUUAUAGAUGGACCCGCGCCGUAUUAGCUGGUUGGUAAGGUAACGGCUUACCAAGGCAACGAUACGUAGCCGACCUGAGAGGGUGAUCGGCCACACUGGAACUGAGACACGGUCCAGACUCCUACGGGAGGCAGCAGUAGGGAAUCUUCCGCAAUGGGCGAAAGCCUGACGGAGCAACGCCGCGUGAGUGAUGAAGGGUUUCGGCUCGUAAAACUCUGUUAUUAGGGAAGAACAAACGUGUAAGUAACUGUGCACAUCUUGACGGUACCUAAUCAGAAAGCCACGGCUAACUACGUG